rnacentral:lncRNA from 1 species
GUUUAACCAACGUGUUUAACCAACCAACCAACCAACCAACCAACCAACCAAUCAAUCAAUCAAUCAAUGCAUGUUUCCGUUUCAUGUGUUAAAUACGGGAUCCAAGAUGUUUUUUUUUUUCGCUCGUUUAAAUUGAGCCUAUCUAACGUGUUUAACCAACGUGUUUAACCAACAUGUUUAACCAACGUGUUUAACCAAUUAACCAACCAACCAUCCAUCCAACCAACCAACCAACCAACCAAUCAAUCAAUCAAUGCAUGUUUCCGUUUCAUGUGUUAAAUACGGGAUCCAAGAUGGUUUUUUUUCGCUUGUUUAAAUUGAGCCUAUCUAACGUGUUUAACCAGCCAACGUGUUUAACCAACGUGUUUAACCAACAUGUUUAACCAACCAACCAACCAACCAACCAACCAACCAACCAACCAACCAAUCAAUCAAUCAAUCAAUCAAUGCAUGUUUCCGUUUCAUGUGUUAAAUACGGGAUCCAAGAUGGUUUUUUUUUCGCUUGUUUAAAUUGAGCCUAUCCAAACGUGUUUAACCAGCCAACGUGUUUAAACUACGUGUUUAACCAACAUGUUUAACCAACAUGUUUAACCAACGUGUUUAACCAACAUGUUUAACCAACGUGUUUAACCAACCAACCAACCAACCAACCAACAAUCAAUCAAUCAAUGCAUGUUUCCGUUUCAUGUGUUAAAUACGGGAUCCAAGAUGGUUUUUUUUCGCUUGUUUAAAUUGAGCCUAUCAAACGUGUUUAACCAGCCAACGUGUUUAAACCAACGUGUUUAACCAACGUGUUUAACCAACCAACCAACCAAUCAACCAAUCAAUGCAUGUUUCCGUUUCAUGUGUUAAAUACGGGAUCCAAGAUGGUUUUUUUUUCGCUUGUUUAAAUUGAGCCUAUCCAACGUGUUUAACCAAGCCAACAUGUUUAAACCAACAUGUUUUAACCAACGUGUUUAACCAACCAACCAACCAACCAAUCAAUCACUUAAUGUAUGUUUCCGUGUCAUGCGUUUAAUACGGGAUGCAAGGUCUCUUGAGGUCUUUUUCCCCUUGUUCUAAGUGACCCUAUCAAACGUGUUUAAUCAACCAACCAACAAACCAACCAACCAACCAAUCAAUCAACCAACUAAUCAAUCAAUCAAUAUGUAUGACUGUUUAUUUAUGACAGUAUAUUGAAGGAACAAACUCUCAAUUAUUCAAGAAAAUUUUUAUUUUAUUAUUGUUCUUACGUCUCUUCUGAAAAAAAAUCCACAUAUUCUCUGAAACUACAAGUCCAAUCGACCUGAAAAUUUGCAGUCAGCAGGGCAUACAUGUACUGAAGGUUCAUAAAAAAACUUUUUGCAGAUAUCUCUCAAGACUUUUCCUAGAAAAAAGAAAUGGCAAUGCCGUAAAAAUCGCUUGCUAGGUCCGUCAAUCUCAGUAAAAACCUACAAUAAAAUGUCCGCUCCGAGAUUGAAAUACUAAUCUGUGUUACAAACAGGUGCUGAAAAAUGGACAUUAUCAAAAAAUAAUCAUUAAAUGUGUUUUAAAGUUACACCGGAUCGAUUAAAUCCAAAACAUGCACUGCUGGUGAACUGUGAUCAAAAUGUCAAUUUCCUACAAUGACAAAAGAAAUUACAUUGUGUACAUUCCAUCUCUAUACAUGUUGUCUGUUCAACGUCCCGACCUAAAAAGAAAUAAAAAGACUAAGUUUUUCUUAAUAUAAACCCGCGUCACGUGAUGUCUCCUCAAUCUUGCGCGCGCGCUGUAUCUAAAAUAAAAGAAAAAACUUUCCAAACUAAACAUGAAACUUCUCCGGUAACAUAAUAAUAUAGACCCCAUACCAAAGCAAACAAACAAACAAACAAAUAAACAAAUACCCCCCCCCCUUUUUUCCAAAUCAAUCAAUAAAAAAAAUCAAUUAUCCAUUCAUCAUAGGGGAAAGACUGCCUAACAAUUGUUUUUGAAACAAUUGCUUUAUAUUUAUUAUUAUUAUUAUU